CCCGCUUAUUAUGGUUGUCUACACCAUUUUGGUUGCAAGCAAUUUCUUUAACCGGGUUAUCGAUUUCCUCGGAAGCUGGAAGAGAUUUAGAUUUCAGUCCGAGGUAGAUGAUAUGGAUGGAUUUGAUCCUUCAGGAGUAAUUAUAUUGCAGAAAGAACGAUCUUGGCUUGAACAAGGGCGCAUGGUUGGUGAGCACGUUAUUCCAUUAGCUAGGAAUUUCAACAGCAUAGACUUGGAGUCUGGCAGCAGCAAUAGCACAGAUUUGCUAGAUGUCAAAGCGAAGGCAACAAACAGUCUAAUAAAUGAAGACAUGAAUGGGAAUUCGUCAAAAUCUUCUGUCGAUGAGGGUCGGAAGUAUGGUUCUAGCAGAGAAGCCAUGAGCAACAAGUAUGCUGCAAUUAGAGAACAAAUUAGACAAUCAACAUUAAACACAAAGCCAGUGGCGAACAUUGCUUCUGCCAAGGUUACCUUACUUGAUACAGACGAUGGUGAAUCUAGCAAUACCAAUGAAAAGACAACUUCUGGUUUGGCCUCAAAGUGGGAAUCAAUGAAG
rnacentral:misc_RNA from 1 species